rnacentral:rRNA from 1 species
AUUGAACGCUGGCGGCAUGCCUUACACAUGCAAGUCGAACGGUAACGGGUCCUUCGGGAUGCCGACGAGUGGCGAACGGGUGAGUAAUAUAUCGGAACGUGCCCAGUAGUGGGGGAUAACUGCUCGAAAGAGCAGCUAAUACCGCAUACGACCUGAGGGUGAAAGGGGGGGAUCGCAAGACCUCUCGCUAUUGGAGCGGCCGAUAUCAGAUUAGCUAGUUGGUGGGGUAAAGGCCUACCAAGGCAACGAUCUGUAGUUGGUCUGAGAGGACGACCAGCCACACUGGGACUGAGACACGGCCCAGACUCCUACGGGAGGCAGCAGUGGGGAAUUUUGGACAAUGGGCGCAAGCCUGAUCCAGCAAUGCCGCGUGCAGGAAGAAGGCCUUCGGGUUGUAAACUGCUUUUGUCAGGGAAGAAAUCUUCUGGGCUAAUACCCCGGGAGGAUGACGGUACCUGAAGAAUAAGCACCGGCUAACUACGUGCCAGCAGCCGCGGUAAUACGUAGGGUGCGAGCGUUAAUCGGAAUUACUGGGCGUAAAGCGUGCGCAGGCGGCUUUGCAAGACAGAUGUGAAAUCCCCGGGCUCAACCUGGGAACUGCAUUUGUGACUGCAAGGCUAGAGUACGGCAGAGGGGGAUGGAAUUCCGCGUGUAGCAGUGAAAUGCGUAGAUAUGCGGAGGAACACCAAUGGCGAAGGCAAUCCCCUGGGCCUGUACUGACGCUCAUGCACGAAAGCGUGGGGAGCAAACAGGAUUAGAUACCCUGGUAGUCCACGCCCUAAACGAUGUCAACUGGUUGUUGGACGGCUUGCUGUUCAGUAACGAAGCUAACGCGUGAAGUUGACCGCCUGGGGAGUACGGCCGCAAGGUUAAAACUCAAAGGAAUUGACGGGGACCCGCACAAGCGGUGGAUGAUGUGGUUUAAUUCGAUGCAACGCGAAAAACCUUACCUACCCUUGACAUGUCAAGAAUUCUGCAGAGAUGUGGAAGUGCUCGAAAGAGAACUUGAACACAGGUGCUGCAUGGCCGUCGUCAGCUCGUGUCGUGAGAUGUUGGGUUAAGUCCCGCAACGAGCGCAACCCUUGUCAUUAGUUGCUACGCAAGAGCACUCUAAUGAGACUGCCGGUGACAAACCGGAGGAAGGUGGGGAUGACGUCAGGUCCUCAUGGCCCUUAUGGGUAGGGCUACACACGUCAUACAAUGGCCGGUACAGAGGGCUGCCAACCCGCGAGGGGGAGCCAAUCCCAGAAAACCGGUCGUAGUCCGGAUCGUAGUCUGCAACUCGACUGCGUGAAGUCGGAAUCGCUAGUAAUCGCGGAUCAGCUUGCCGCGGUGAAUACGUUCCCGGGUCU